rnacentral:misc_RNA from 1 species
AACACUGUUAACCUGCGGUACCUGCGGAGGGAUCAUUACAGAGUUGCAAAACUCCCUAAACCAUUGUGAACGUUACCUAAACCGUUGCUUCGGCGGGCGGCCCGGGUCCUUCCCGGCGCCCCUCGGCCCUCGCGGGCGCCCGCCGGAGGUAAACCAAACUAUUGCAUUGUAUGGCCUCUCUGAGUCUUCUGUACUGAAUAAGUCAAAACUUUUAACAACGGAUCUCAGAUCGGAAGAGCA